GUCUGUCUAUCUGUCUGUCUGUCUGUCUAUCUAUCUAUCUAUCUAUGUAUCUGUCUGUAUGUAUGUCUGUCCUUUUCUCUACGUGUAUCUGUCUGUCUGUCUAUCUGCAUGUAUAUGUCUGUCUGUCUAUAUUGUAUAUCUGCCUGUCUGUUGGUCUGUCUCUCUAUAUAUUUGUCUGUCUGUGUGUCUAUAUAUCUAACUAUCUGUACUCUGUCUGUCUCUCUAUCUAUUUGUCUGUCUAUAUAUACUAUAGCUCUCUCUACUCUGUCUGUCUCUCAAUCUAUCUGUCUGUCUGUUGGUCUGUCUAUCUAUUUGUCUCUGUCUAUAUAUAUAUCUGUCUCUCUGUCUGUCAUUCUAUCUAUCUAUUUAUCUGCAUGUAUCUGUCAGUAUGUAUGUCUGUCUGCAUGUAUCUGUCUGUCUAUCCAUUUCUCUACAUGUAUCUUGUCUGUCAAUCUCUCUCUACUCUGUCUGUCUUUAUCUAUUUGUCUGUCUGUAUCUCUCUCUCUCUCUCUGCUCUGUCUGUCUGUCUCUCUGUCUGCCUGUUUAUCUGUCUGUAUGUCUGCAAGUGUCUGUCUGUUUGUCUGUCUCUCUAGCUAUUUGUCUGUCUGUCUAUUUCUCAGGGUAGGUUUUUCAAGACAAUUUGAAAAUAACAAAAUAGAAUUAUGUUUUAUUUAUCAUAUAUCAAAGUUAUGAUGAUACCAAUGAUAGAACGGCAUACCUUACGUCCACUCUGAAUUUUUUUUUCUGUCAAGCAUUUUUUCAGUAGUACACCCAAAUGGCAAUAGCCGUAAAUUACUGUUCAUGUGAUGUGUUGUACUUGCUUUAGUUUUUUUUUUUUUUUAUUAACAAUUUUUUAUUGAUUCCAUGUAGCAAAUCAAAUAGACAUAACAGAAAAUGCAAAAUCAAACCACAUGAAAUCAUAAAUUUUCCCCCAAACAUUAACCCCCCUACCCCACCCGACAGAAACAAGCACUCCAGUGGUCAAAAGCCAACUGACAAAGACACACAAAUAGACAGUAAAACAGCAGAAAAUACUUAGAGACAUAAAAUAAAAAUAAAAAAAACUAGUCUCUCUCCGCUGCUCCAUCCCGAGAGCCUUCCAAAAAGGCUAGAUAGCUGCCCCAUUUCUUGAUGUACAUAUCCAGGUUGCCUAGCCUUCUAUAUACCAUCUCCUCAAACACCACCACCCUGCCCAACUUGACGCACCACUCACGAAAUGAGGGCGCAUCAGACGACCUCCAUCCCCUGAGGAUUACCCGUCUGCCAAUCAUCACACCGGUCAGAACCCAGCUCUCCAUAUAUCCAUCACCCAUAUUCAGGACCGCCCCAUCACCCAAAAUACACAGUCUGGGGCAAAAUGAAAAUUUGAGUGUCCACUACAUCACACAUGAAGCUCUGAACCCUCAACCAAAAUUAUUGGACCUUGACACAUCCCCAAAAAACAUGGGUUGUGUCCCCGUCUUCUGAUUGGCAUCACCAGCAGAUGGGUGUGUCUUUAAGACCAAGUCUAUACAAUCUAGAGGGGGUCCAAUCUCAACACUCCACUCUCAUAUAGGUCACCAAGCAUAUUAACCUCCCUCACAAUCCACUCUGACCAGCAGAAAGGGGACUUAUUAAUAUACGUAAUUUUGGGUUCCGCCAUAUGCUUGAGGCAACAUUUAAAUAAAUGUCCGAAUUAAACACUCUGGACAUUUUUGUCCAUACCGCAUGCAAAUGCGAGAUAACGGGGUGUAACUUAACUUCUCUGGUUAGUUUAAUAGAAAGGCUUUGCAAUGGCAAAAUAGGGGCAAGCACUUUCUGUUCGAUACAAAACCAGAGAGGGGCUCUCUCAGGUGGAAGCGACCAAUGAGCCAAAUGUCUGAGACCGAAUGCAUAGUAAUAAAACAAAAUCUUGGGUAGGCCUAGCCCACCUUUGUCAAUCGGCCUGUGUAAAUUAUUGAAAUGUAAUCUGGGAUGUUUACCAUUCCAAAUGAAGGACUUCGCAAUGCUAUCAAAUUGCUUAAAAUAAGAGAGGGGAACAUCUACAGGGAGAGAUUGUAGCAGGUAGUUGAAUUUUGGAAUAUAAUUCAUUUUAAUAACAUUAACCUUCCCAAUCAUCGAUAAGUGUAAUGAAGCCCACCUGCCCACAUCACUCAAAAAAACUUUUUAUUAAGGGGUCAAAAUUAACUAACUAAAUCACACAAAUUUGCUGGGAAUAAAAUGCCCAAAAACGUAAUGCCACGUUUGGGCCACUGGAAGGCACCGGCUGAAAAGCCGUUACUGGGCAGUAUGCUGUCAGAGCCAAGGCUUCAGAUUUAGACCAACUGACUCUGUAUCCUGAGAAUUUCGAAAAGGAAUGAAUAAUUCUGUGAAGGCAAGGCAUAGAUCAAGUAGGGUCGGAGACAAAUGAUAAAAUAUCAUCUGCGCAAAGCAAAAGCUUAUGCGCCACACCUCCCUCCACCACCCCUGGAAAAUCAUCCUCCUUUCUUAUCGUGGCUGCUAAUGGUUCCAGGGCAAGACAAAACAAUAAGGGGGAAAGAGGGCAACAAUGCCGGGUGCCCCUAUCCAGAGUAAAAUAAUCUGAAAUUAAUCCAUUCGUUUGUACCGCUGCUACAGGGUGUCUGUAACUUAAUCCACCCAAUAAAAGUAUUCCCGAACCUGUACAUUUCCAAAAUCUUAAAAAGAUAAUCCCAUUCUACCAUAUCAAAUGCCUUUUCGGCGUCAAGUGAGAUGGCAGCGACCAGAGUCUGAUCAUUCGCCACUGAUCACAUGAUAUUGAUGAGACACCUGAUGUUAUCAGAAGAGCUACGGCCCCGAAUAAACCCCACCUGAUCUAUAUGUAUAAGAGAUGUCAUAACUUUACUUAAUCAGUUUGAAAACGUCAUCUGUUGAGUAAGAAAAAAGUAAUCUCUGGGUCAUUGUUGCCACCUCUGAAAAGCCAAGCUGAUGUUGAUUCGGGUUUUAUUACGGACUCUGUCGCUUUCACUUUUUGCUUGUAGACUCUGCUCUGUUCAGUUUUUCUCAUUCAUUGUGACAACAAACUUUCAGGUUCACGCUACUCCCACACACGUGCUACAGUAGCCGGAGCUUAUUUUCUCUGUGUACAGAAAUGACGUCAACACGCAUGGGCGAAUAACGUAUGUAUACAAUUUCUCGCUAAAUACGUCCCGACAGCUCUAAAAUAUAAAUCAUUAUUAUAGGUUUAUCAAAGUGUAUUUGGGUAAAGACAUGGUUUGGAAGAUUAAUUUUUGUUGCACUCUCUUAUUAAUAAUAUUUCGUUAUUUCUCUAAAAAAAAAAAAAAGUUACAUAGUGUAGCUUUAAGCAAUUAUAAUUUUUGUGGGUGUUUAGGAAUACUAAAAAGGUGGGGGCAUAACUCCAAAAAAUAGAUUAAGUAUAGGGGGUGAAAUUAGGUCCCACUAAAGACCUGAGGUCUUCAUUUAAGGGCUAACACAUGUUUGGCCUUUUGUGACAAUAGCAGGGCAUGUUGUAACACUAUAUGGGGUUAGUUGUCAGUGAAAACCUGCCAAAACACCCUAUUAUAGGCUUUUCAGUAAAAAGUGCACAACAGUUCAUUAAAGAGCAACAAUGGAAAAGGUAGCAUACAGUAGUAGACAUUGUUUAAAAUUGCGACAUAUUAAACACGUCAACUUGCCCCAGUUAAAAUGUGAAUACCCAAUAUAAAUACCCUUGUCCUAAGAACAUAGUUUAACUUUUUUCUUAACAUCUAUCUUUAUUAUAGAGUUGACAUUGUCCUUAAUGUAACCCAGUUGGGUUUUAAGAGCUGUUGAAAAAGAUUUUGCUACUGGAAUUUUUGUUUAGAGGACAGAAUUCAUAAAAUGAAGACAGUUUGAAACUAAAAUACAAAACCACUGCUAGAGAAAACACUUGAAAAAUCUGACUUUUUAUACAAAACCUUACAGUUACUGAGAUACAGCUCUGCCUGCUGUUGUGAAGGAUUGCAAUAACACUAAUCAUUUUUAUUUUUCAAAAAAGUUUGAGAGAUUGUAUCAACUCUAAUCUCAGUUUGUAGGGAAGAUGUGGUGAACUUGAUUAAACCUAUGAAUAUACCUUACAUGUUUGCAAUGAAAUCAUGUUAUCUGAAAUUUGGAAAUAAAGUGUUUUGGAGAUUAUCCAUACAUACACCGGCCCCUCUCUAGAGUUUCUAGGUAGUUCGUUUACGUCUUACUGUGGAAUUCCUUCAAAAAUGUGUGGGGUGAAGAGAUUUGAGUCAUCAUAUAUAUAUCAUCUCUUUGUACAUAAGCCAUUAUCUUUGUAGUAGUGCAGCUUGAGGCUUAACUUUUUUGCGUACUCAUUUUGGUAUAAAAGAGGCAUCUUUUAUUAUUUUCAAAAGUGGUUGAAGAUGGAGAAUAGAAAGCUUUGUGGUAAGAGCCAUUACAUUUGUAUUAGUCAAAUUAGUGUGUUUUUUAUUUUAUUUUAUUUUAUAUCUUGUAACAUUUCUUUUUCAGAGUUGUUGUUCAUAGUUCUCAUAUUAAACUACGUCAAGUCGAAUCAAGAAUGUCUCAAUAUUAUGAAGGAUGAUUCCUUCCAUGUAAUAAUGCCGUACGUCAAAGUAAGUCUUAAUGUUAGUAAUUUUAAUGUUUGUAUACUUUGUUGUUGUUUACUCACCCUCAUGUUGUUCUGAACCAGUAUGACUCUCUUUCUUCCGUGGAACACAAUAGGAGAUGGUUGGCAGAAUGUUAGAGACUGAAAGCAUAGGUCACCAUUCUCUUUUAUUGUAUGGAGAAAAAAAAUAUGCAAUGUAAUUGAACUGUGUCUGAGUCUGUCAGUCACUUACAUUCUGCCUAAUGUUACAUCUCCACUUGUGUUUCACAGAAGGAGGAAAGUCAUAUGGCUUUGGAACAGUAAAUGAUAACAGAGUUUUCAUUGUUGGGUGAACCUUCCCUUUAUGAAACCUAACUUGGUCUAAAACAUGUCUUAAUGUUUUAAUUUGCUCUAAAAUUUGGCCUCCCAGAAUUUAGGGCUGUCAUGUAAAGGCAUCUUUAAGUUUGAAAAUGACCCAAUGUGCAUCUUUAACUGGGCUUCAGCUGAGAACUCAUGUACUGUAUCUGAAAUACAAAAUAUACAAGAGAUGAUACGAGACAGCAGUAUGAAGUGUUUCAGUACACCAGUCCUAUAUCCACUGAAGAGCUGCUCCACUUUGGCCUUCCUAAGAUGCUGGUGUGUUUUUAUACUAAGGAAAUUGUGAUGUAAUGAAAUAAUGAAAGCUGCUCACAAAUUUGGUUUGUUUUGUCUGCAAAGUUGUCACUAACCUAGCAGUUAGACUAGGCUGACUGUAAUUGUUCUGCACAAUGUGUACAACAUGAAUGUGAUUUUGAAUUAUUUUCUAAACAACUAAGUAUUUAAAAACGUUUAAUGUAAUAUAUCAGUAUUUUAAUCUUUCCUUUUAAUUUUUUGAAUGAACAGCUACACCAAUUACCAUUGUCCACAAAGAAUAUGACAAUAAAGAAUGUUUAUUUA